UCUACGGGUGGCUGCAGUGGGGAAUAUUGGACAAUGGGCGAAAGCCUGAUCCAGCCAUGCCGCGUGUGUGAAGAAGGCCUUCGGGUUGUAAAGCACUUUCAGUGGGGAAGAAAGCCUUGGGGCUAAUACCCUCGAGGAAGGACAUCACCCACAGAAGAAGCACCGGCUAACUCCGUGCCAGCAGCCGCGGUAAUACGGAGGGUGCGAGCGUUAAUCGGAAUUACUGGGCGUAAAGCGCGCGUAGGCGGUCUGAUAAGCCGGUUGUGAAAGCCCCGGGCUCAACCUGGGAACGGCAUCCGGAACUGUCAGGCUAGAGUGCAGGAGAGGAAGGUAGAAUUCCCGGUGUAGCGGUGAAAUGCGUAGAGAUCGGGAGGAAUACCAGUGGCGAAGGCGGCCUUCUGGACUGACACUGACGCUGAGGUGCGAAAGCGUGGGUAGCAAACAGGAUUAGAUACCCGUGUAGUC
rnacentral:rRNA from 1 species